rnacentral:rRNA from 1 species
UAGGGAAUCUUCGGCAAUGGACGGAAGUCUGACCGAGCAACGCCGCGUGAGUGAAGAAGGUUUUCGGAUCGUAAAACUCUGUUGUUAGAGAAGAACAAGGAUGAGAGUAGAAUGUUCAUCCCUUGACGGUUUCUAACCAGAAAGCCACGGCUAACUACGUGCCAGCAGCCGCGGUAAUACGUAGGUGGCAAGCGUUGUCCGGAUUUAUUGGGCGUAAAGCGAGCGCAGGCGGUUUCUUAAGUCUGAUGUGAAAGCCCCCGGCUCAACCGGGGAGGGUCAUUGGAAACUGGGAAACUUGAGUGCAGAAGAGGAGAGUGGAAUUCCAUGUGUAGCGGUGAAAUGCGUAGAUAUAUGGAGGAACACCAGUGGCGAAGGCGGCUCUCUGGUCUGUAACUGACGCUGAGGCUCGAAAGCGUGGGGAGCAAACAGG